AGCAGUGGGGAAUAUUGCGCAAUGGAGGAAACUCUGACGCAGCAACGCCGCGUGGGUGAAGAAGGUCUUCGGAUUGUAAAGCCCUGUCGGGAGGGAAGAAAAGCACAUGGUGAAUGUGUCUGACGGUACCUUCGAAGGAAGCACUGGCUAACU
rnacentral:rRNA from 1 species